UACCAGUUAUAUGGCUGUUGGUUUCUAUGUGGCUAAAUACGUUAACAAAAAGUCAGAUAUGGACCUUGCUGCUAAAGGUCUAGGAGCUAAAGAAUGGAACAACUCACUAAAAACCAAGCUGUCGCUACUUCCCAAGAAGCUGUUCAGAAUCAGAAUGAGCCGCAACUUCGGGAUGAAAAUGCUCACAAUGACAAAUCUGUCCCCGGAG
rnacentral:rRNA from 1 species